CCUACGGGUGGCAGCAGUGAGGAAUAUUGGUCAAUGGACGAGAGUCUGAACCAGCCAAGUAGCGUGAAGGAUUACUGCCCUAUGGGUUGUAAACUUCUUUUAUAAAGGAAUAAAACGAGGCACGUGUGCCUUUUUGCAUGUACUUUAUGAAUACGGAUCGGCUAACUCCGUGCCAGCAGCCGCGGUAAUACGGAGGAUCCGAGCGUUAUCCGGAUUUAUUGGGUUUAAAGGGAGCGUAGAUGGGUUGAUAAGUAAGUUGUGAAAUUUUGCGGCUCAACCGUAAAAUUGCAAUUGAUACUGGCAGUCUUGAGUACAGUUGAGGUAGGCGGAAUUCGUGGUGUAGCGGUGAAAUGCUUAGAUAUCACGAAGAACCCCGAUUGCGAAGGCAGCUUACUAAACUGUGACUGACAUUGAUGCUCGAAAGUGUGGGUAUCAAACAGGAUUAGAUACCCGAGUAGUC
rnacentral:rRNA from 1 species